CAUGUGAUACCUUUUUCGGAAAGC
rnacentral:siRNA from 1 species